GAUGAACGCUGGCGGCGUGCCUAAUACAUGCAAGUCGAGCGAACAGAUGAGGAGCUUGCUCCUCUGACGUUAGCGGCGGACGGGUGAGUAACACGUGGAUAACCUACCUAUAAGACUGGGAUAACUUCGGGAAACCGGAGCUAAUACCGGAUAAUAUAUUGAACCGCAUGGUUCAAUAGUGAAAGACGGUUUUGCUGUCACUUAUAGAUGGAUCCGCGCCGCAUUAGCUAGUUGGUAAGGUAACGGCUUACCAAGGCAACGAUGCGUAGCCGACCUGAGAGGGUGAUCGGCCACACUGGAACUGAGACACGGUCCAGACUCCUACGGGAGGCAGCAGUAGGGAAUCUUCCGCAAAGGGCGAAAGCCUGACGGAGCAACGCCGCGUGAGUGAUGAAGGUCUUCGGAUCGUAAAACUCUGUUAUUAGGGAAGAACAAAUGUGUAAGUAACUAUGCACGUCUUGACGGUACCUAAUCAGAAAGCCUCGGCUAACUACGUG
rnacentral:rRNA from 1 species